rnacentral:rRNA from 1 species
UAUUCCCUAAGAUUAACCCAUGCAUGUUUUUGACAUUGGAAAAUUGGACUGCUCAGUAAUACUCACUUAAUUUUAUGUAAAUUUUUAAUUAACUACGUUAAAGUGUAGAUAAGAUGUUUACAGUAAGAGUGAGACCUAUCAGCUAGUUGUU